GGAUGUGUAGCUCAGUGGUAGAGUGCUUGUCUAGCAUGCACACAGGCCUGGGUUCUAUUCCCUGCACUAUCA
rnacentral:tRNA from 1 species